UACGGAGGGUGCGAGCGUUGUCCGGAAUCAUUGGGCGUAAAGGGCGCGUAGGUGGCGGGACAAGCGUGCGGUGAAAGCCUGGGCUCAACCCCGGGUCGGCCGUGCGAACUGUUUUGCUUGAGCACUGUAGAGGCAGGCGGAAUUCCGGGUGUAGCGGUGGAAUGCGUAGAGAUCCGGAAGAACACCCGUGGCGAAGGCGGCUCUCUGGUACGUGACUGACGCUGAGACGCGAAAGCGUGGGAGCAAACAGGG
rnacentral:rRNA from 1 species